rnacentral:rRNA from 1 species
CCUUCGGGAAAGAUAUAAAGUGGCGCACGGGUGAUUAACACGUAAGUAAUCUACCUUCGAGUGGGGAAUAACGUCGGGAAACCGACGCUAAUACCGCAUAAUGCAGCGGCACCUUAUGGUGACAGUUGUUAAAGGAGCAAUUCGCUUGAAGAGGAGCUUGCGGCAGAUUAGCUAGUUGGUAAGGUAACGGCUUACCAAGGCUACGAUCUGUAACCGGUCUAAGAGGACGGUCGGUCACACUGACACUGAAUAACGGGUCAGACUCCUACGGGAGGCAGCAGUCGGGAAUUUUGGGCAAUGGGCGAAAGCCUGACCCAGCAACGCCGCGUGAAGGAUGAAGUAUUUCGGUAUGUAAACUUCGAAAGAAUGGGAAGAAUCAAUGACGGUACCAUUUAUAAGGUCCGGCUAACUACGUGCCAGCAGCCGCGGUAAUACGUAGGGACCAAGCGUUGUUCGGAUUUACUGGGCGUAAAGGGCGCGUAGGCGGCAAUUCAAGUCAUCUGUGAAAUCUCCGGGCUUAACCCGGAACGGUCAGGUGAUACUGUUUUGCUAGAGUGCGGAAGGGGCAAUCGGAAUUCUCGGUGUAGCGGUGAAAUGCGUAGAUAUCGAGAGGAACACCAGAGGUGAAGACGGGUUGCUGGGCCGACACUGACGCUGACAGCGCGAAAGCCAGGGGAGCAAACGGGAUUAGAUACCCCGGUAGUCCUGGCCCUAAACGAUGAAUACUUGGUGUCU